rnacentral:rRNA from 1 species
GAGAGUAAGGGCGCACGGUGGAUGCCUUGGCACUAGGAGCCGAAGAAGGACGUGACAAACGACGAUAUGCCUUGGGUAGCUGUAAGUAAGCGAUGAUCCAGGGAUUUCCGAAUGGGGGAACCCAACAGGUACUACCUGUUACCCGCAUCUGUUAAGGAUGUGAGGAGGAAGACGCAGUGAACUGAAACAUCUAAGUAGCUGCAGGAAGAGAAAGCAAAAGCGAUUGCCUUAGUAGCGGCGAGCGAAACGGCAGGAGGGCAAACCGAAGAGUUUACUCUUCGGGGUUGUAGGACUGCAAUGUGGACUCAAAGAUUAUAGAAGAAUGAUUUGGGAAGAUCAGCCAAAGAGAGUAAUAGCCUCGUAUUUAAAAUAGUCUUUGUACCUAGCAGUAUCCUGAGUACGGCGGGACACGUGAAAUCCCGUCGGAAUCUGGGAGGACCAUCUCCCAACCCUAAAUACUCCCUAGUGACCGAUAGUGAACCAGUACCGUGAGGGAAAGGUGAAAAGUACCCCGGGAGGGGAGUGAAAUAGUACCUGAAACCAUGUGCCUACAAACCGUUGGAGCCUCCUUGUGGGGUGACAGCGUGCCUUUUGAAGAAUGAGCCUGCGAGUCAGCGGCAUGUCGCGAGGUUAACCCGUGUGGGGUAGUCGUAGCGAAAGCGAAUCCUAACGAGGGUGUUUUUUAGUGGCAUGUUCUGGACCCGAAGCGGGGUGAUCUACCCAUGGCCAGUGUGAAGCAGCUGUAAGAGGUUGUGGAGGCGCGAACCCACGUAGGUUAAAAACUGCGGGGAUGAGCUGUGGGUAGGGGUGAAAGGCCAAUCAAACUGGGAGAUAGCUCGUACUCCCCGAAAUGCAUUUAGGUGCAGCGUUGCGUGGUUCUUGUUGGAGGUAGAGCACUGGAUGGUCUAGGGGGCUUAUCGGCUUACCGAAAUCAGCCAAACUCCGAAUGCUGGCAAGUGUAGCGUGGCAGUGAGACGGCGGGGGAUAAGCUUCGUCGUCGAGAGGGAAACA